CCUACGGGUGGCAGCAGUGAGGAAUAUUGGUCAAUGGACGAGAGUCUGAUCCAGCCACGUAGCGUGAAGGAUGACUGCCCUAUGGGUUGUAAACUUCUUUUAUAAAGGAAUAAAACGAGGCACGUGUGCCUUUUUGCAUGUACUUUAUGAAUAAGGAACGGCUAACUACGUGCCAGCAGCCGCGGUAAUCCGGAGGAGCCGAGCGUUAUCCGGAUUUAUUGGGUUUAAAGGGAGCGUAGAUGGGUUGUUAAGUCAGUUGUGAAAGUUUGCGGCUUAACCGUCAAAUUGCAAUUGAUACUGGCAGUCUUGAGUACAGUAGAGGUAGGCGGAAUUCGUGGUGUAGCGGUGAAAUGCUUAGAUAUCACGAAGAACCCCGAUUGCGAAGGCAGCUUACUAAACUGUGACUGACAUUGAGGCUCGAAAGUGUGGGUAGCAAACAGGAUUAGAUACCCCAGUAGUC
rnacentral:rRNA from 1 species